UGCCCAGGUGGCGAAAUUGGUAGACGCAGGGGACUCAAAAUCCCUUGGUCGUGGGUUCGAUUCCCACCGGGCCC
rnacentral:tRNA from 1 species